rnacentral:rRNA from 1 species
UACGUAGGGCGCAAGCGUUGUCCGGAAUUAUUGGGCGUAAAGAGCUCGUAGGCGUUUGUCGCGUCUGCUGUGAAAACCUAAGGCUCAACCUUGGGCUUGCAGUGGGUACGGGCAGACUAGAGUGCGGUAGGGGUGACCGGAAUUCCUGGUGUAGCGGUGGAAUGCGCAGAUAUCAGGAGGAACACCAAUAGCGAAGGCAGCUCGCUGGGACGUUACUGACACUGAGGCGCGAAAGCGUGGGGAGCGAA